UUGUUCCAAGUAAAAUUGCGAUCUUUUUGAAUAAUUGAAGCUGUUUUAAGGUUCAUCUACGUAUUAAAUUACUGUUCAUCGAUUUCUACAGUGCCAGCUGUAUUGAAACGAAAAAAUGGAAGCCCAACCGAAUAUUGUCCACCACGAGCACACUAUAUCGACGCAACGUAUUCGUCAGACGUGUCGUAUUAGAAAAAUCAACGGCGAAAUCUUCAGAAAAUGUUACGUUAGAAAUAACAACGGUAAUGAAACGCCGAAAUGGAUUCAGUUGUCCUACCUGGAGUGGUGGGAUAAUCUCACGGAAAAUACCAACCACUAUCAGGAGUAAUUAAUUAAUACGAUAACGACGGCGCAGAAAUUCCAGCGAAUCGACGUAUUUGCGGGUGAAUCAGCGCACCAGAUUGCGACAAUGAAACACAUACAAGAUGUGAUCAUCGUCGUGAUUAAUUUAGUCAUAUCGUAUCAAUUUGCAUUUCCGUACUUGUUUCCUAUACCUUAAAAUAUAAAUGUAUUUCGUACCGCUUGCUUUAAUUAGUCAUUCACACUCUCAUUGC